rnacentral:tRNA from 1 species
UCCCUGGUGGCUCAGAUGGCAAAGCGUCUGUUUACAAUGCCGGAGACCCAGGUUCGAUCCCUGGGGAGGGAA